CGCGUAGGCGGAAGUUCAAGUGUCCUGUGAAAUCCCCCGGCUCAACCGGGGAACUGCGGGGCAAACUGGAUUUCUUGAGGCAAGUAGGGGUACAUGGAACUCUUAGUGGAGCGGUGGAAUGCGUAGAUAUUAAGAGGAACGCCAAUGGUGAAGACAGUGUACUGGGCUUGUCCUGACGCUGAGGUGCGAAAGCGUGGGGAGCGAACAGGAUUAGAUACCCUGGUAGUCC
rnacentral:rRNA from 1 species